rnacentral:rRNA from 1 species
GAUGAACGCUGGCGGCGUGCUUAAUACAUGCAAGUCGAGCGGACAGACGAGGCGCUUGCUGCUUUCACGUUAGCGGCGGGCGGGUGAGUCACCCGAGGAUACCCUACCUAUAAGUCUGAGAUAUCUACGGAAAUCCGGAUAUAACAUAGGAUAAUAUCUUGAAACGCGUGGUUCACUAGAGAAAGACGGAUUUGAUGUCCCGUAUAGAUGUUUCCGAGCCGCAUUAGUUAGUUGGUACGGUAACAGCUUACCAAAGCUACGCUGCGUGGCCGAUCUGCCAGGGUGGUCGGCCACACUGGAACGUGAACACGGUCCAGACGCCUACGGGAGGGAGCAGUCGGGAAUGUUCCGCAAUGGGCGGAAGCCUGACGCAGCCACUCCGCGUGAGUGAUGAAGGUCUUCGGAUCGUAAAGCUCUGUUAUUAGGGAAGAACAGAUGUGGAAUUAACUAUGCAGGUCUUGACGGUACCUGAUCAAGAAGCCACGGCUAACUACGUG